rnacentral:misc_RNA from 1 species
GAUGAAGAACGCAGCGAAUUGCGAUAUGUAAUGUGAAUUGCAGAAUUCAGUGAAUCAUCGAAUCUUUGAACGCACAUUGCGCCCGCUAGUAUUCUGGCGGGCAUGCCUGUCCGAGCGUCAUUUCAACCCUCAAGCCCCCGGGCUUGGUGUUGGGGAUCGGCGAGCCUCCGCGCCCGCCGUCCCCUAAAUCUAGUGGCGGUCUCGCUGUAGCUUCCUCUGCGUAGUAGCACACCUCGCACUGGGAAACAGCGCGGCCACGCCGUUAAACCCCCAACUUCUGAACGUUUGACCUCGGAUCAGGUAGGAAUACCCGCUGAACUUAAGCAUAUCAAUAAGCGGAGGA